AUAGCGUAUAUUAAAGUUGUUGCAGUUAAAAAGCUCGUAGUUGAACUUCAGACCUGGCUGGAUGGUCUGCCUAACGGUAUGUACUGUCUGGCUGGGCCUUACCUCUUGGUGAGCCGGCAUGCCCUUCACUGGGUGUGUUGGGGAACCAGGACCUUUACCUUGAGAAAAUUAGAGUGUUCAAAGCAGGCUUACGCCGGAAUACAUUAGCAUGGAAUAAUAAAAUAGGACGUGCGGUUCUAUUUUGUUGGUUUCUAGAGUCGCCGUAAUGAUUAAUAGGGAUAGUUGGGGGCAUUUGUAUUCCAUUGCUAGAGGUGAAAUUCUUGGAUUUAUGGAAGACUAACUUCUG
rnacentral:rRNA from 1 species